rfam:Branchiostoma floridae genomic scaffold BRAFLscaffold_236, whole genome shotgun sequence.
ACCCCGGCCCUUUUCAGGGCCACCCAAAUAUCCAAAAAAGAGCUGU